rnacentral:lncRNA from 1 species
UCCAACAUGCUCUUAGAUGAGGACUUUAAGCCGAAGCUCUGAGACUUUGAGCUUGCUAGAGAAGGGCCAAAGGGUGACCAUACUCAUGUAUCGACAGCGGUAGUAGGGACUUAUGGAUCACCUUCUAACUGGCGCAUGAGCGCCUCAUCACCAAUUCACUACCGUCUUCCAAUCUCCCUUGGAUAUUGAUUCACUGUGAUUACCUUUUUAAUUCUCACCGUAUUUCGUUCGACCAAUAACAAGUAAUUAACAACAUAAUAUACACUUAUUUUGUGAGCAUAAUUUGUGGGAGGGAGGGCAUUUAAUCUCCCCCAGGGCCUUUUUCUCUUGGCUCGAAGCUGCUGCUG